rnacentral:rRNA from 1 species
GAUCAUGGCUCAGGAUGAACGCUAGCGUACAGGCCUAACACAUGCAAGUCAGGGGCAGCAGAUGAAGCUUGCUUUGAUGCUGGCGACCGGCGAAUGGGUGAGUCACGCGUGUCCAACCUGCCCUGUGCCCCGGGGAUAGCCCUUGGAAAUGAGGAUUAACACCCGAUACGUGGCGCUUCCGCAUGGCGGCGCCAUGAAACUGACACAGGAUGGGGACGCGUCGGAUUAGCUUGACGGCGGGGCGACGGCCCACCGUGGCGACGAUCCGCAGGGGUUCUGAGAGGAAGGUCCCCCACACUGGCACUGAGACACGGGCCAGACUCCUACGGGAGGCAGCAGUGAGGAAUAUUGGUCAAUGGCCGAGAGGCUGAACCAGCCAAGGUAAGCGUGCAGGACGACGGCCCUACGGGUUGUAAACUGCUUUUGCGGGAGGAUAAAGGACACUACGUGUAGUGUUUUGCAGGUAUCCCGUGAAUAAGGACCGGCUAAUUCCGUGCCAGCAGCCGC